rnacentral:rRNA from 1 species
CGGACGGGUGAGUAAUGUCUGGGAAACUGCCUGAUGGAGGGGGAUAACUACUGGAAACGGUAGCUAAUACCGCAUAACGUCGCAAGACCAAAGAGGGGGACCUUAGGGCCUCGCGCCAUCAGAUGAACCCAUAUGGGAUUAGCUUGUAGGUAAGGUAACGGCUUACCUAGGCGACGAUCCCUAGCUGGUCUGAGAGGAUGAUCAGCCACACUGGGACUGAGACACGGCCCAG